GGAGGGAUGGCUGAGAGGACGAAAGCGACGGUCUUGAAAACCGUUAUAGGGGCAACUCUAUCGUGGGUUCGAAUCCCACUCCCUCCGCCA
rnacentral:tRNA from 1 species